rnacentral:rRNA from 1 species
AGCACCACAACGGGUGGAGCUUGCGGUUUAAUUGGAUUCAACGCCGGAAUCUUACCGGGACCGACAGCAAUAUGAAGGCCAGGCUGAAGACUUUGCCGGAUUAGCUGAGAGGUGGUGCAUGGCCGUCGUCAGUUCGUACUGUGAAGCAUCCUGUUAAGUCAGGCAACGAGCGAGACCCACGCCCACAGUUGCCAGCGUACUCUCUGGAGUGACGGGUACACUGUGGGACCGCCGCUGCUAAAGCGGAGGAAGGAAUGGGCAACGGUAGGUCAGUAUGCCCCGAAUAUCCCGGGCUACACGCGAGCUACAAUGGUUGGUACAAUGGGUAUCUACCCCGAAAGGGGACGGGAAUCUCCUAAAACCAAUCUUAGUUCGGAUUGAGGGCUGCAACUCGCCCUCAUGAAGCUGGAAUCCGUAGUAAUCGCGUUUCAACAGAACGCGGUGAAUACGUCCCUGCUCCUU